AGGGAAUGACCUCACAGACUGAACCCGCUUUCAGCUUGCUUUCAUGAAAUCUUCAGUUCUUUUGAAAAAGGCUAAAGACAGGAACAAGCUUUAGCAGUUGAUCAGAGCUCAGGAACAAACUGGACUUAAUUCAGGACAAUCUGCGAUGAGAAGAAACUGGAGACCAGGAGGAUUUCUGUAAUUUUGUGGGAGGGAAGAUUUCAAAACGAAUCAGUGAUGUUGAAGAGACGGUACCACUGUGCUCUGCUUCACCUGAACACGAGCCGUUAUCUCAGCAGUGUGUGGAUGACCCAGUGCCAUUAAAUGCUGUGGUCGUAUAUGAAGAUGAGGAAUUCCACAUUACCAACCAACCACCCAUGACUGGGUUCAUACCUGAGGGAGAGACACACUCGGAAGACUACGAUCCCUUGAUGACAUCUUCAGCUGAACAGGAGGAGGAGAUGGAUGAAGUAUCAAGUUGCUUGAAGCUACAUUUUUGUUUUGGUUAAAUUAGAUAGAUAAUUAAAUAUAAAUAUUAGAAUAUUUGAUAUGUAAUUAAUUAAGUCUGAAUAAAUAUUGUUUAAAAA